AGAAUCAACGCUGGCGGCGUGCCUAACACAUGCAAGUCGAGCGAGCCUUCGGGCGAGCGGCGAACGGGUGAGUAACACGUGGGCAACCUGCCCCAAGCUCUGGGAUAACCCCGGGAAACCGGGGCUAAUACCGGAUAUGACCUUAGAAGACAUCUUCUUUGGUGGAAAGUUUUUCGGCUUGGGAUGGGCCCGCGGCCUAUCAGCUUGUUGGUGGGUAACGGCCUACCAAGGCGACGACGGGUAGCC
rnacentral:rRNA from 1 species